GCCUGGCUGGCUCAGUUGGAAAAGCAUGUGACUCUUGAUCUUGGGUCAUGACCUCAAACCCACAUUGGGUGUAGAGAUGACUUUAAAUAAACAAACAAACAAACAUACUUUUAAAAAAAGUUCUCACCACAAGAAAAAAAAAUUAGGGGCAUCUUGGUGAUGCAGUUGGUUAAGCAUCUGACUCUUGGUUUCAGUUCAGGUAGUGAUCUCAGGGUCACUGAGAUCAAGCCCCAUAUCAGGCG
rnacentral:tRNA from 1 species